rnacentral:snRNA from 1 species
GUGCUCACUUCAGGAGCACAUAUACUAAAACUGGAACGAUACAGAGAAGAUCAGCAUGGCCUCUGCACAAGGAUGACACACAAAUGUGUGAAGCAUUUCAUGGUUUU